rnacentral:rRNA from 1 species
AUGGGAGAAAGAUGGCUGCUUCUGGACGAGGUCUGCAUAUGCGGCAAAAUUCUGGGGCAGAGAAGUGAUCCCUACAGCAGACUUCACUUGGAGAUCGAGGGCUCCGCUUCGCUUCGCUUCUUUGCGUGGCUGGCCCUCCAGAACAGGUGCUGGACGGCGGACCGGCUAGCCCGGCGUGGCCUGGAUCAUCCGGAGCGUUGCCCUUUUUGCGAUCAGCAUGAGGAAAGCAUCAGCCAUCUUUUGCUUGAUUGUGUGUUUGCCUCUGAGGUCUGGGCCAUCGUCUCGGCAGCCGCGAAUAAACCAAAUUGGGUGCCAACGGCAGGGGACAACAUAAGCCAAUGGUGUGCAAAGAUAGGAGGAUCAAGGAGGGAGUGCAAGGACACAAGAACUGCCUCGACGCUCGUACUAUGGAUGCGUUGGAAACAUCGCAAUGCCAUUGUCUUUGAUGGCGCUUCACCUUCCAUACGCGCGGUGAUUAACAACAUACACUCAAAGGGCACGGCGUGGAGGAAGGCGGGUAUGCUUCGGGGAGACGCUUGUACCUUCCUUGAGAAGCUUGCAGAGUGGGCGCGUAGAUCAGAGUAA